rnacentral:tRNA from 1 species
AUUUAUUUAGUAUAAAAAGUACAUUUAACUUCCAAUUAAAAAGUCUAUUGUUAGAAUAAAUA